rnacentral:rRNA from 1 species
UACGUAGGGUGCGAGCGUUGUCCGGAAUUAUUGGGCGUAAAGAGCUCGUAGGCGGUCUGUUGCGUCGGUUGUGAAAACCUGGGGCUCAACUCCAGGCCUGCAAUCGAUACGGGCAGACUAGAGUUCGGUAGGGGAGACUGGAAUUCCUGGUGUAGCGGUGAAAUGCGCAGAUAUCAGGAGAAACACCGGUGGCGAAGGCGGGUCUCUGGGCCGAAACUGACGCUGAGGAGCGAAAGCGUGGGGAGCGAACAGG